AACGAACGCUGGCGGCAGGCUUAACACAUGCAAGUCGAGCGGGGGAAGGUAGCUUGCUACCGGACCUAGCGGCGGACGGGUGAGUAAUGCUUAGGAAUCUGCCUAUUAGUGGGGGACAACAUCUCGAAAGGGAUGCUAAUACCGCAUACGUCCUACGGGAGAAAGCAGGGGAUCUUCGGACCUUGCGCUAAUAGAUGAGCCUAAGUCGGAUUAGCUAGUUGGUGGGGUAAAGGCCUACCAAGGCGACGAUCUGUAGCGGGUCUGAGAGGAUGAUCCGCCACACUGGGACUGAGAUACGGCCCAGACUCCUACGGGAGGCAGCAGUGGGGAAUAUUGGACAAUGGGGGGAACCCUGAUCCAGCCAUGCCGCGUGUGUGAAGAAGGCCUUAUGGUUGUAAAGCACUUUAAGCGAGGAGGAGGCUACUCUAGUUAAUACCUAGGGAUAGUGGACGUUACUCGCAGAAUAAGCACCGGCUAACUCUGUGCCAGCAGCCGCGGUAA
rnacentral:rRNA from 1 species